rnacentral:rRNA from 1 species
CCUACGGGAGGCAGCAGUGAGGAAUAUUGGUCAAUGGGCGGAAGCCUGAACCAGCCAAGUCGCGUGAAGGAUGAAGGACCUAGGGUUUGUAAACUUCUUUUAUAGGGGAAUAAAGGCAUCCACGUGUGGAGCUGUGCAUGUACCCUAUGAAUAAGGAUCGGCUAACUCCGUGCCAGCAGCCGCGGUAAUACGGAGGAUGCGAGCGUUAUCCGGAUUUGUUGGGGUUAAAGGGAGCGUAGGUGGGUUUUUAAGUCAGGGGUGAAAGUCCUGGGCGCAACCUGAAAAUUGCAGUUGAAACUGGAAGCCUUGAGUGUGUUUGAGGCAGGCGGAAUUCGUGGUGUAGCGGUGAAAUGCAUAGAUAUCACGAAGAACUCCGAUUGCGAAGGCAGCUUACUGGGCCAUAACUGACGCUGAGGCACGAAAGCGUGGGUAUCAAACAGGAUUAGAUACCCUUGUAGUC